GUCUAUGGUCAUACCACCCUGAAUGCGCCCAAUCUCGUCUGAUCUCGGAAGCUAAGCAGGGUCGGGCCUGGUUAGGACUUGGAUGGGAAGGGAAUCAGUGGAUGGAAGGGGCAUGUAUACA
rnacentral:rRNA from 1 species